rnacentral:rRNA from 1 species
GUCUACAGCCAUGCCACCCUGACCGUGUCUGAUACCGUCUGAUCUCGGAAGCUAAGCAGGGUCAGGCCUGGUUAGUACUUGGAUGGGAGACCACCUAGGAAGACCAGGUGCUGUAGGUG